rnacentral:lncRNA from 1 species
AUGACCUUACUUAAAUGUGUUAUUUUCGCCACGGUUAUGCAAUUCCGUGUCUGCCAACAAUCAGAAUGCAACCGUUUGAGCAUUUCAUGCAAAAGAAUUCGAACAGAACAUCCCGCUGGCUUCACAUUCCUUUACAAUUGUUCUACUGGAAAUGAGGUUGUCGCUUAUUAUAACCAGACUGUGAUUGCACAUGCUGAAUACAAUGGAGAGGACUACAACCUGUCACCUGUAGUGAUAAGCAUGAACACGGCUUCACUUUUUACGACUGAGUGCAGAAACCUGAAAGUACAAUGUAUUCAUUCCAAUGGUCAGUUUGUUGAAGAGACCUGUGAGGAGUUUGAAGUUUCUGACUGGAGCCCUGUUGUCCAUGAAGGGUCCACACCAUGGAACCUCAUCAUUGGUCUAUCAGCAUUAUUAAUUAUAAUGCUGAUCAUUGGGAUACUUCUUUGUUGCUAUUGGAGAAAGUUUGUAGGAUUGUUGCAGUCCUGCUGUUGUCACAGAGUCGAAGGCUGCUGGCUCAGUUGCCCUUCAAGAUGCCACAAAGAUGACGGAAGUCAGGUUUCGACAACUGGUGAUGUCGCAACUCCGCCCGAUGAUGUGAUGAGCCUGACAGAAGUAGUCACUUCUGAGCCACAUGGAAAUGGUGAAAAUCAGCAGGAUAACAUAACUGGAACUGUACAAGCUAAUGGGAAACUGAAGGACGACCCCGGAGGAGCAUCUGCUGUGGGGACCUUGAACCAGAACAAUGGAUGUACUCAUGGUGAUCGUGGUCCUGAAGGACAACAACUGCUGGAUCAGCGAGCUGCUGUCCACAGUUCUGAAAUGACAGCUGAAGCCGUAGCUUUGGUGAACAAGCACGACUUUGACCCAGACCGGGUCGACACGUGCUCCACUGCUCUACUGCACGAGACAAGGACGUGGAGUCAAACCUAA